rnacentral:rRNA from 1 species
UACGGAGGGUGCGAGCGUUGUCCGGAAUCACUGGGCGUAAAGGGCGCGUAGGCGGCAUGCCAAGCGUGUGGUGAAAGCCCGGGGCUCAACCCCGGGUCGGCCGUGCGGACUGGCGUGCUCGAGCACUGUAGGGGCGGGUGGAAUUCCGGGUGUAGCGGUGGAAUGCGUAGAGAUCCGGAAGAACACCGGCGGCGAAGGCGGCCCGCUGGGCAGGAAGGCUCGCAAGAGCCGGCUGACGCUGAGGCGCGACAGCGUGGGGAGCAAACAGG